ACGAAGGGUGCAAGCGUUACUCGGAAUUACUGGGCGUAAAGCGUGCGUAGGCGGUUUGUUAAGUCCGUUGUGAAAGCCCUGGGCUCAACCUGGGAAUUGCAGUGGAUACUGGCAAGCUAGAGUACGGUAGAGGAUGGUGGAAUACCCGGUGUAGCGGUGAAAUGCGUAGAUAUUGGGAGGAACACCAGUGGCGAAGGCGGCUACCUGGACCGGAACUGACGCUGAUGCGCGAAAGCGUGGGUAGCAAACAGGA
rnacentral:rRNA from 1 species